AGCUUGAUGCCUGAAAAAGGGUAGUUUUGAUAGAACUAAUAAUGUAGUCCAUCUACUCAUGCUA
rnacentral:tRNA from 1 species